rnacentral:lncRNA from 1 species
CUCUCACACACACACACACACACACACACACACACACACACACACCCAUGCUCUCCAGGCCCGGGGACGAGCUUUGGUUUCUGGCUUUUUGGGCGCUGCCCCGCCGGGUCCACAGGAGUUCUGGGUCCAGAGCGUGCCUUUCCUGGGAUCCUGCGACCCCGGAGUCGCGGCGCUGAGCGCGCACCCUGAACUCUCCUCUCUCCGGAGUCAGGCAGUUCUGGAUUCUCCGAGCCCCCGGCCUUCCUAGGUGUCAAGCUCCCCCUACUGCCUCGGGAAGCUUCUGGCUUUUUGGGCGCUGCCCCGCCGGGUCCACAGGAGUUCUGGGUCCAGAGCGUGCCUUUCCUGGGAUCCUGCGACCCCGGAGUCGCGGCGCUGAGCGCGCACCCUGAACUCUCCUCUCUCCGGAGUCAGGCAGUUCUGGAUUCUCCGAGCCCCCGGCCUUCCUAGGUGUCAAGCUCCCCCUACGGCCUCGGGAAGCUCCCCGCGGCGCAGAGGCAGUCCUUCGGCCUCCGGCCUCGGUCAUUCAACCGCGCGGCCCCUGCUGCCAUUUGCUCGGGGGUUGGUGACUCUGAGAUUUUCCACUCUCCCCCCAGCGUCAGUCUCACGCCUGAGGGGCCUGUUCCCGGGUUGCACGCAAAACAGCCCCAGCGACCUCCGGGACGCCACGGGGAGCUCCCAGGCCUCCACCUGGAGAGGACUUGGUAGAGGAAGACAGCCUCCGUGCCGCCUACACGGAGCCAGGCAGCCUUCAGCGCCUCCGAGCCGCCUGCCCGCACUCGCCGACUGGAGGAACCGGAGCUGGCGCCCGAGACGCUGCAGCCCUACUCCCACUCUGGUGAGGAAACCAAGGACUAAAGAGAAGUCACAUAUCUGGGCUCCAGAGCCAGAGUCCUUAACCACUGUACUGCACUGUGCUGGUCCCUGUGCCUGGAAUCUUUGUCCUCUGUCUUCUCUCCAUAAUUACCAGCAACUCAAAACUCCUGCUUCAAAUCUCAGGCCAGCAUCACCUCCUCCCGGAAGCCCCCCACAUUCUUCACAUUGGAUUCAGUGCCCUUCUCAUUGCUCCUGUAGUACCUGUCCAUCCCAUCAUACUCUCUACAUUUUCCUCACAGCCUGGGCCCUGAACACAGCAGGAGGGUUUGUCUCCUGUACCUUUUUCUAGCUCUGACAGCCAGCAUGGUACCUGGAACAUAGUAGAUGUUCGAUAAAUGUUAGAGGGAAGGUGAGAAAGGGAAGGAAGGAAGACAGAAAGGGAUGGGGGAGUGGCAUGGAGACGGAAUGGAGGAAAGUUGUGAAAGAAUUGGGCCCUCUUGGGCAGGAUGAUUCUUCCAGAGAGAGCAGAAGUAGCAGUUGGCUUAGAGGAACUGUGGACACCUUUGCCCUUCCACAAAAUGAGGCCCAGUGAGCUUCCACAUAUCAGUUAGAAACUGCAUCUGCUGACGAUGACAAAGACCCUUAAAGAGUAGCUUAAAGAAUAUGGAUAUUCUCUUCUCUCAGGAUGGAGGUGGACAGUCCAGGCUAAAAAUGGCCCUUGGUUAUCAGGGACCCAGGAUGCUCUGUCUUUGGCUAUAUCAGACCAACCAAGAAGUUUUUUGUUUUUUUGGGUUGUUUUUUUUUUUUCUUUUUACAGCUGCACCUGCAGCAUAUGGAAAUUCCUGGGCUAGGGGUCAAAUCAGAGCUGCAGCUGCCAGCCUGCGCUACAGCCACAGCAAUAUCAGAUUCAAGCCACAUCUGCAAGCUAUGCUACAGCUUGUGGCAACACUAGAUCCUUAACCCACUGAGUGAGGCCAGGCAUCGAAGCCGCAUCCUUACAGAGACUACAUUGGGUUUUGAACCUGCUGAGCCCCAGUGGGAACUCUGCCACCAGGAAGCUUUCCUCCUCGCAUCAUCUAAGUCCAAGAUGGCUGCUUGAGCUCAGCAACCAUCACCUCAUUCCAGGCAACAGGAAGGAGCAGUGAAAAGAGGUAAAAGGGUCCCCUCCCUUUUAAUGAGACUUUCUGGAAUCCACUGACAACUUCUCAGCUUAUACCUCAUUGGGCAGACUCUAACCACAUGGCCACACUUAGCUGCAAGGAAGGCUGGGACCUGUUUAGUUGGGUACACUGUUGCCUGAAAUAAACUCAGGGUUCUGUUACUCAGGGGAGUAACAGCAGCAAGGGUGGGAGUUAGGGUAGAACAUCAGUAGACUCCUCAGCAAGCCACAGACAGGGUCACCCAGAACUGGAGUCAGGAAGCAGCUCUCUUGGUGGUGGCCUUCCAGGGGGUCACUGGUUGGUGGCUUGUACCUCUAAACCACAUAUUCUUGUUGACAAAGGAGACAAAGCCCUCAGACAUUGUAACUCUUGUUCGUUUUUGGUGCUCAGAGUUGCCCACUACAAUGAUUUAGAGUGGGAUUUGUCAAAAGUAAUUUUUAUCCCUAUUAAGAUCUUUGGUUAGAGAUCUAUUCAUUUUAGCCCUGAACCCCUCUCACACAAUACCAAUCCAGGAAGAAGCAAUUGUCUUUGAAAAACAACAACAACAAGAAAAUCCCAUGGGGUCAGAGUUCCUAUUGUGACUCAAUGGAUUAAGAUCCCAAUAUAGUGUCCGUGAGGAUGAGGGUUCAAUCCCUGGCCUCGAUCAGUGGGUUAAGGAUCUGGUGUUGUCGCAAGCUGUGGCAUAGGUCACACAUGCGACUUGGAUAUGGUGUUGCUGUGGCUGUGGCAGAGGUCUCAGCUGCAGUUCAUAUUUGAACCUUAGCCUGGGAACUUCCAUAUGCCACAGAUGCGGCCCUUAAAAAAAAAAAAAAAAAUCCCAGGGAGUGACAUUGUAAACCUACCUCCCCCCCUCUUCCACGUUACUGGAAAAAAACUGAAGACAGCCUCCAACUCAAAACAGAAGCAAAUCAAUGCUAAGUCAAGUCUACACUAACCCUACCUUCAAUCAUUAUAGUGUAACUACAGAAAUCUAAAAGAAACAAGACACAACCAUAAAGAACACAAAUGCUAUCACUUACACCACUCGAGCGAGUUUGAAUCAUGCCUCCCACAUAUACCUGCACUUGGCCCUUGGGGACCACCUAUGCCAGAUUCUGGAGAGUGCAGGAGCAGGGUGUAGGUGGAGCUUGGAGAAAGGAAAAGGAGACUCCUAGGACCCGAAGGGGUGAUGAGAAAGCAGGAACAGGGAUGCAUGUAUGGGAGCAGCUUGGCUGCCCUGCUGCUGGAAGCUUUCUCAGUUUUAAGUCUAACAAGGAAGACACAUUUCAGAGUUCUGGGCUGAUUUCUUUGCAUCUCUCUGUGUGUCUCUGACAGUUUUCUCUCACGGGCUUUAGAAACAUCCCUCCCCUACUUCCUCCAGGGGCAGCUCCUGUGGAGUGGGAAUUCUAUACCCUCCGCAUCAAUAGGUCUUAAGCCUUUUUGAUUUCUUUGCAUCUCUCUGUGUGUCUCUGACAGUUUUCUCUCACGGGCUUUAGAAACAUCCCUCCCCUACUUCCUCCAGGGGCAGCUCCUGUGGAGUGGGAAUUCUAUACCCUCCGCAUCAAUAGGUCUUAAGCCUUUUGUGGGCUGAGGGAUGGAUGCAGAAACCACAGCUUUUUUUUUUUUUUUUUUUUGGAAACUACCAAAGGCAAUGGCCCCC